rnacentral:rRNA from 1 species
UACGGAGGAUUCAAGCGUUAUCCGGAUUUACUGGGUGUAAAGGGAGCGUAGACGGCAAUACAAGUCGGAAGUGAAAUACCCGGGCUCAACCUGGGAACUGCUUUGGAAACUGUAUGGCUGGAGUGCUGGAGAGGUAAGCGGAAUUCCUAGUGUAGCGGUGAAAUGCGUAGAUAUUGGGAGGAACAUCAGUGGCGAAGGCGGCCAACUGGGCUUUUACUGACGCUGAGGCUCGAAAGCGUGGGGAGCAAACAGG